GAUCAUGGCUCAGGACGAACGCUGGCGGCGUGCCUAACACAUGCAAGUCGAGCGGAGACAGUGAGUAGCUUGUCUAUGAGCUGUUUUAGCGGCGGACGGGUGAGUAACGCGUGAGCAACCUUUCCCAGACAGGGGGAAUAACACACCGAAAGGUGUACUAAUACCGCAUAAGACCACGGAAUCACAUGGUUCUGGGGUAAAAGAAUAUCGGUUGGGUGGGCUCGCGUCCGAUUAGGUAGUUGGUGAGGUAACGG
rnacentral:rRNA from 1 species